rnacentral:tRNA from 2 species
AGUAAGGUCAGCUAAACAAGCUAUCGGGCCCAUACCCCGGAAAUGUUGGUUUAUAUCCUUCCCGUACUA